ensembl:lncRNA
CUUCGACACGCCUUUUCUUUAUUAAUGGAGUCUUGUGGGGUGAGCGUGAGCAGUGGAGUGCAUUGCCUAUUGUUUUCUCUGUGACUAUGGCACCUGCUGCCUCCAAGUGUUUCUGGAGCUCUUUCCGAGUGGUCCUUGGCUCUUGGGCUACUCUUCUGACUAUUCUUCUGACUCCCUGGUCAGUAAUCUUGUGAGGAGCUCCUGUGCAUUGCCGGUUGAUGACGGAGUGAUGUUGCUUCCACUUGCGGAUAAUGGUCCCAAUGGUGCUUCCUGGAAGAUUCAGAAGUUAUGAAAUGCAUCUGUAUCUGAUUCUAUCAAUAUGUUUUGCAACAAUAAGGUUGUGAAGGUCUUGGGAGAGCUCUUUGCUUUUACCCAUCAUGAGAUGUUUCUUGUGUGACACCUUGGUAACGAAAAUAAUCCAUCAAUUUACUAACCCAGAUGCUAUUAAUUUGCACAGAUAAAGACAAGCGUUGAAUAUACUGUAUGUAAUUAUGUGUUUUUGUGUUGUACAGAUUAGCUAAAGAAAGUACGUUGUCUGAUUAGCUUUGAUGAAAUAAAAAAAACAAAAUACGAUGAAAUUAAAGCUCGCUCUUUUUGUUUCUUUUUUUGCACACCUUUCCAUUAGAACGAUCUGAGCUCUUUCUCUUAAAUUCUUUUUUGGUCUCCUUUUAUCAGUUACGCAGCACGCACCACAAAGCUGGCCUACGAGAUUUCUAAAACUGGAUCUGCUUCGGAAACUCAAUCUCUCCCUCUCUCUUUUCUAUCUCUCUCUCUGUCUCCAUACAUCCCUCUCUUUGGCUUUUGAACACGUUUCCGUCUCCCAGGUCUUGUCUUUCAUUUGCAAAACCCAGUCUGUAACAUUAUACAUCUACCCCAGUCUCUCUCCCUCUCUCUCUCUCUCUCUCUCUCUCUCUCUCUCACACACACACACACACACACACACACACACACACACACACACAGUGUUACUGGCAAACGGCAGUGCAUUUUCCAGACUCUUCCAUAAAUAUAGGGCAUGUGCCGCAAGCCACCUCGGAGGACUGAAUCAGCAAGCAAUGGACGGGAUGUGGUGUGUGUGUGUGUGUGUGUGUGUGUGUGUGUGUGUGUUAAUGACUAUGUACUAGAGAACACCUACAAUUUAAGUACUCCUGAUUUGUUUAUUUAGCUAAUGGGCUUUCGUGGCUAAUUCGAGUAAAUGACAUCAUUAGCAUGUCGUGACAUGACAGGAAGCAGUAAUUUGCUUAAUGGACUAACCAUUUGGCAAACGUUGCUCUUAGCUUAGCACCGCUGAACGACCAUAAGCAAGACAAAAGUCACAAUGAUACGAUCACUUAAGUGCCGUCUGUGUACGACGGGUUACAGUUUACAUGCUGGGAAUUUGACGGUUCGCUAGCUAGCUUGCUCAUGUGCUAGCAGAAAUGUGAUGAUUAGCAGAACUCCCGUCAUCACUUACACAUUUCAAAGUAACUGAAAGAAACGGUGGUGUUGUUUGCGGAACAAGAUUUCCAUUCGAAAAUUUCUAUGUCGUAAUUACGAUCAAUCACAGACACGGGUGUGGCUUUACGAUGUCCUCACAAAAUAUUCCACAAGUACUACGUGCACUUCGGUACGGUAAUUGAUCUUUGUUACAAGCGCUCGUUGUUGGAGGCGUGGCUUGCUUAUUAGUAGGUCAUUUUUAGACAGUUGACCGUUUUAAACAUAGUCUGUAUUGUAUUGUUUUCAUUUUGAACGUGUCCUGGAGUUAAAAGAAAAAUUCCCCAAAGGAUACGACAGAAUCGUUUUUUUGAGAAUGAAAUUUUCAUAAAGUUGUCAGUAUUUAUCAGGUCAUCAUUAUGAGAUGAAUCUAUAUUAUAUGUAACAACACUACGGAGGAUUUGUAGUAAGCAAACUCAGUCAAACGGUAUACGUUUUGAAAUAUUAAACACUAUUGAUAUAGUCUUGUCUGCCAUCUUGAAACGGAUGUCUUCUGGGUAAUCAACGCUCUUCCCCAGUCUACAGUCUGCUCGAGCCGACAGUGUAACGGAAUGGGCUUUGGUGAAAGAUGAUUAGAGCGUGUUUAAAUCAGGAUUGGAGCGCUGCCUUUUAUACCCAGACCUUAUUAGCAAUUAGCAACAGGUCUCUCUCUCUCUCUCUCGCUCUCAUCCCAUCUGUUCUGCAUCAUGCAAAAUAACAAGUAGCCAUCUAUCAUCCUGCCUCGUGUUUCAUGCCUCGUUUUAUUUUCGCUGCAUGGAUUUCCUUGGAUAUUGUACACAGUACGCUGAGUGGGAAAAAAAAAAAAAACCUCCCUGUACAACUGUGGAUUAAUAACAUGUUGAUGUGUUAGUGGAGAAGAGCGCAUCAGAUUUAAAGAUCUGGACAUGGCUACAUUAGAAAAUAAAUAAAUAAUAAAUAAAUAAAUAAAUUAACAAACGUAUAUAUAUAUUUUAAUUCCAUCGUGGAUUAUUUCCUAAUAACAGCAUGUCCUGAAGCGCUUUAUUCCUUUUACACCACAAAUGUUCUUACUUUUUAUAGUUACAUUUAAUGUUGAGGAGUGUCCGCAAAACAAGUUCAUUCUUGUUCCGUUCUAGCAGCUAUAAACAGUCGAUCCAUCACCAGCCUCAAUUUGUUCUCUGACUUGAAGUUAAAAAGACUAAAAUGCAGACAAAUUAGAAACAAUUCUAAAGAAUUUGCCAUGUUGGAAAGCACUACCGCUGACACUGGAGACUCCUUCUAUAAAUAUUAAAUGGUCAUCUCCUUAUACUGUGAAAACUUAACUUAUUUUGAAAAAAAAAAAUCCACUUACGUGGAAAGUCCACCAUACAAAUCCCUAAUUCAACAGUGAUGACGGUGCAAUAAUAAUUAAGAAAAUGACAAUUUAUACAAUUGAAACUUCAAAUAACUAAAUAACAAAGUUAAUAAUUCAUGCUUAAUAAUUAGUGUGUUAUUAAUAAUUCAUGGCCAAAAAUACAAUUUCUUUGGUUAAUUUCAAAAUCACUGGAAAUACAUAAAAAUGUAUAUAAUUAUUGAAUGCAUUAUAAAGACUAAUAAAGCAAAUCUUUCAUUUUCAUUUUACUCUACAUUCAAAUCAUCUUAUUGCACAUUCUGAACUUUAUUCUAUAUAUUCUGAAUGAAUGACUUGAACGUACUGGAUAUAUUUUAUCCUUAUUAUUUAUUAAUUGGAGUCUAAGAGAAACUCCUUGUGCGAAUUUAAAAAGUGAAAAAUUAGAUGCUAAGUGUUUUGUUGAUAAGUUCUCCUGGCAUUUACUUGGCGAUAUCAAAAGAUUAACAUCCAAAAGUACACUCCAAAAAACACCAAUCAUUUCACUUUACACUAAACAUUUCAUUACACACGCUCACUGGUCAGAUUGUUAAUACGCAAGAAUACUGUCAGAUUAAACGUGCCAGAUAAAUACUUCAUGAAUUAUGCAGGAUACAAGUGACACCUGGAAUUUAGCACAAAUUAAACACACCAUAUUGCAACUACAGCUUGUUAAACACAUGUAUCCUGAUCGUUGCUCGACAUUUUAUCUGGUUUGCAAUGUUGUCACAAUAUCAGAUUUUAGGAAAUUUCCUACUAGAACCAUGUUAUAUUUCGAUAUAAAAGCAAUGUUUUUAAUAAAAUGAGAAAAAUGUUAAAAACUUGAAAGUUAAAGUACAACCAAUUACUGCAUUUGGGAAAUGUGGGACAUUUGAAUGUAGAAAUUGACAACAUAGAAAAAGCAUACAAAUGUGGGAAGGGGUGUGUGCUUUAAAUUGGUAGAAUGAGUUCUAAAUUUUUCUUACUGUUCUUAUAUUAGUGAUGACUUUCCAUUGGCAUAAUUAUUUUAUAUUACUCUAGCUAAUUAAUGAU